AUACGUAGGUGGCGAGCGUUGUCCGGAAUUACUGGGUGUAAAGGGCGUGUAGGCGGGGGAGCAAGUCAGAUGUGAAAUCCCGGGGCUCAACUCCGGAGUUGCAUCUGAAACUGUUUUUCUUGAGUGCUGGAGAGGAAAGCGGAAUUCCUAGUGUAGCGGUGAAAUGCGUAGAUAUUAGGAGGAACACCAGUGGCGAAGGCGGCUUUCUGGACAGUAACUGACGCUGAGGCGCGAAAGCGUGGGGAGCAAACAGGAUUAGAUACCCUGGUAGUCCACGCCGUAAACGAUGGAUACUAGGUGUAGGAGGUAUCGACCCCUUCUGUGCCGGAGUUAACACAAUAAGUAUCCCACCUGGGGAGUACGGCCGCAAGGCUGAA
rnacentral:rRNA from 1 species